rnacentral:rRNA from 1 species
UACGAAGGGUGCAAGCGUUACUCGGAAUUACUGGGCGUAAAGGGUGCGUAGGUGGUUGUUUAAGUCUGUUGUGAAAGCCCCGGGCUCAACCUGGGAAUGGCAAUGGAUACUGGACAGCUAGAGUGCGGUAGAGGGUAGUGGAAUUCCAGGUGUAGCGGUGAAAUGCGUAGAUAUCUGGAGGAAUACCGGUGGCGAAGGCGGCAUCCUGGACCGGCAUUGACGCUGAGGAGCGAAAGCGUGGGGAGCAAACAGG